rnacentral:rRNA from 1 species
UACAGAGGUCUCAAGCGUUGUUCGGAUUUACUGGGCGUAAAGAGCGCGCAGGCGGUCGUUCAAGUCGCGUGUGAAAGCCCCCGGCUCAACUGGGGAGGGUCACGCGAUACUGAUCGACUCGAAGGCAGGAGAGGGUAGUGGAAUUCCCGGUGUAGUGGUGAAAUGCGUAGAUAUCGGGAGGAACACCAGUGGCGAAGGCGACUACCUGGCCUGUUCUUGACGCUGAGGCGCGAAAGCUAGGGGAGCAAACGGG